rnacentral:piRNA from 1 species
UCCCCAGCAUGAUGCUCUAAGAUAUAAAAUU